rnacentral:lncRNA from 1 species
AUGGUUUGCCUAUCCCUUGACCCAGAAAACUCCACAAAAUCAUGCAAACCAAGGGACUCAAAUCUUUAUGUUCGCUUUAAGAACACCCAUGUAACUGUGCAGGCCAUCAAGGUAUGCAUACCCAAAAAACCACCAAGUACCUGAAAGAUGUCACUUUUCAGAGGCACUGUGUGCCUUUCCGUCAUUACAAAGGUGGAGCUGACAUGUGUGCCCAGGCCAAACAAUGGGGCUGGACACAGGAUUGGUGGCCCAAAAAUGUGUUGAAUUUUUGCUGCAUGUGCUUAAAAAUGCAGAGAACAAUGCUGAACUUCAGGGUUUAGAGGUAGAUUCUUGGAUCAUUGAGCACAUUCAGUUGAGCAAAGCCAAGAUAUACACCAUAUUUACAGAGCUCAUGGUCAGAUUAACCCAUAUGAGAGAUCCCCCUGCUACAUGGAGAUGAUCCUCGCUGAAAAGGAACAAAUUGUUUCUAAACCAGAAGAGAUAUUUACACACAAGAAAAAGGUAUCCCACAAGAAACUGAAGAAACAACAUGGCCUAGGAAUAC